GAUGAACGCUAGCUACAGGCUUAACACAUGCAAGUCGAGGGGAAACGACAUCGAAAGCUUGCUUUUGAUGGGCGUCGACCGGCGCACGGGUGAGUAACGCGUAUCCAACCUGCCCACCACUUGGGGAUAACCUUGCGAAAGUAAGACUAAUACCCAAUGAUAUCCCACGAAGACAUCUGAAUGGGAUUAAAGAUUUAUCGGUGAUGGAUGGGGAUGCGUCUGAUUAGCUUGUUGGCGGGGUAACGGCCCACCAAGGCAACGAUCAGUAGGGGUUCUGAGAGGAAGGUCCCCCACAUUGGAACUGAGACACGGUCCAAACUCCUACGGGAGGCAGCAGUGAGGAAUAUUGGUCAAUGGGCGAGAGCCUGAACCAGCCAAGUAGCGUGCAGGAAGGCGGCCCUAUGGGUUGUAAACUGCUUUUAUAAGGGAAUAAAGUGGGUCACGUGUGACUUUUUGCAUGUACCUGAUGAAUAAGGACCGGCUAAUUCCGUG
rnacentral:rRNA from 1 species